CACCGCGGUCAUACAAGAAGCCCAAAUUAACCGUAUACGGCGUAAAGUGUGGUGUCAUGCUAUCACGAAGGCUAAGAUCAAAGUGCAACUGAGCUGUCAUAAGCACAAGAUGCACCUAAAACCACCCUUAAGACGAUCUUAGCACCCUCCCUAUGACUCAUUAAACUCCACGAAAGCUAAGGCC
rnacentral:rRNA from 1 species